GUAUAUAGGAUUGAGACGAUGGCCGUAGCUUCUAUUGUUAAGCUUCUUAAACGGACUAAACUGACAUUAUAGUUUGUCUGGCAUCUGAAAGUGGAGAUGAAGCCUCAUACCAGCGUCGUCAGACCUAAACUGAUGUCACUGCCAGCUGAAGCUCCUCUGAUAAUACAGGACGUUACAGACGCGCGAGCCACGCGUCCUUCAAACCUCAUCUCCAGUCCUCCAGUGUCCGGAUGUUCCACGGCUGCUGAAGCCAGGCUGAAUGUUUUCUCAGCGACACGGAAAUGCCCACGCAGUCCGAGCGUGAUAUUUCUGGACGGCAUUUCUUAUUUGAUAAACGAUGGAGAAAUGGAACUUACUUCACUAAUGGCAUUGAAGGUGAUGUUCUGAUAAACCACAACCCUACAAAUCCACUGUCUCAGGACUUCCAUGUGUAUCGCUCUCACAAUCUAACCAGAUUCGCCCACCGCAAAGAACUCUGCCUGCGCGACCCAAGACCACUUAUUUGCGGGUCUGAUUAUCUGGCUUCAUUUCCAUCAGUUCUGUUACCAGCCACCACCCCAUCUGUCAGUGGACGGCUCUGUUUAUCACAAAACUAUAAAAACAGAUUAAGGAUGAAAACCAGAGCACGAAAUCUCUUCGAUGGCGCUAACAA
ensembl:lncRNA